rnacentral:tRNA from 2 species
GGACAGAUGGGUGAGUGGCUGAAACCAACGGAUUGCUAAUCCGUCGUACUUCGUAAGAGGUACCGAGGGUUCGAAUCCCUCUCUGUCCGCCA